UUAUUGGCAAAUAUUUCAACA
rnacentral:piRNA from 1 species